CUAGCCUCGAUCCCAGGCCGAGUUUUCGCUUUUAUAACGGUUAGGCGAACAACUGGGCCUGGUACUAGUUGUCUGCGCAUGCGUCAGUCGUUCGUCAGAUUCUGACGAAUGGAUAUUCUCGUUCACUUUCGUGACAUUUAUAUUCGUGUACUAUCGUGUACUAGAAGUCAGUUCCCGUUUUAUCAUUAUUGGAAUCGAUUGGAAUGGCUCUUAGCUGAAGCUUCUCUCUUCUCUGAAGCUUAUUCUGAAGACUAAACAACAAGGGAAGAGGUAUAAAGCUUUGUCAAGCUUGUUAAGGUCAGAUAUUUUUGUGUGGGCCCUAUGGCUAUGCUAUCAAGUUUUGUUCAUGUUUGGCAAGAUCUACCGGUAUGUAGGUAGAGUAUAGUUUCAUCAUUGAUAUGGUGGAUCAAGUGAAGAGUGUGAGCUAGAGAACUUGGUGCUGCCAUCAUCAGCUCGUCGACAAUGACACUAACCUGUUUAAUACGAGAAAUUUAAUAUGUAUAGAUCUACACGUAUUUAAAAUGUCUACUUCUCUGUACAGGAGCAAUGGCUAAUAUCCAGCUAUCCCAACAGUGCUCCUCUUGGCUAUACUAACGGACGAGACUGGACAGUUUGAGGACUGGAGUAUGACCUGCUCAUUCGAGUGUUGCUGGGUAGCUCAGAGACAUCAAGAGAAUCUACGUUUUCUCAAGUAAAAUUUAACUGAGUUAUGAGUUGGGGCCUAGAAUCAGAGAAGUCCAGCAGCCUGCUAAAUCUUUUUGAAACGUAAUUUGAAGGCAUUCAAUCAUCCCGAGUUGCCCUGGGUCACUGUAAUUGUGCUGCAGCACAACUGGCAACUCCCCAGGCCUUUGUGAAGCAGCUCUCUAUGUGCAUCUUUUGUGUACUCACUCUGUGCAUUUUCUGUGUACAAAUUUCUAUUAUUGAUUUAUUAAAUAUUUUUGCCGACCACAAA